rnacentral:rRNA from 1 species
UAGGGAAUCUUCCGCAAUGGACGCAAGUCUGACGGAGCAACGCCGCGUGAGUGAAGAAGGAUUUCGGAUCGUAAAACUCUGUUGUUAGAGAAGAACAGCGCAUAGAGUAACUGUUAUGCGUGUGACGGUAUCUAACCAGAAAGCCACGGCUAACUACGUGCCAGCAGCCGCGGUAAUACGUAGGUGGCAAGCGUUGUCCGGAUUUAUUGGGCGUAAAGCGAGCGCAGGCGGUCAAUUAAGUCUGAUGUGAAAGCCCCCGGCUCAACCGGGGAGGGUCAUUGGAAACUGGUUGACUUGAGUGCAGAAGAGGAGAGUGGAAUUCCAUGUGUAGCGGUGAUAUGCGUAGAUAUAUGGAGGAACACCAGUGGCGAAGGCGACUCUCUGGUCUGUAACUGACGCUGAGGCUCGAAAGCGUGGGUAGCAAACAGG